AGAGUUUGAUCAUGGCUCAGAGCGAACGCUGGCGGCAGGCCUAACACAUGCAAGUCGAACGGGCCCUUUCGGGGGUCAGUGGCAGACGGGUGAGUAACGCGUGGGAACGUGCCCAUCGGUUCGGGAUAACCCAGGGAAACUUGGGCUAAUACCGGAUACGCCCUUUUGGGGAAAGAUUUAUUGCCGAUGGAUCGGCCCGCGUCUGAUUAGCUAGUUGGUGAGGUAACGGCUCACCAAGGCGACGAUCAGUAGCUGGUCUGAGAGGAUGAUCAGCCACACUGGGACUGAGACACGGCCCAGACUCCUACGGGAGGCAGCAGUGGGGAAUAUUGGACAAUGGGCGCAAGCCUGAUCCAGCCAUGCCGCGUGAGUGAUGAAGGCCUUAGGGUUGUAAAGCUCUUUCACCCACGACGAUAAUGACGGUAGUGGGAGAAGAAGCCCCGGCUAACUUCGUGCCAGCAGCCGCGGUAAUACGAAGGGGGCUAGCGUUGCUCGGAAUCACUGGGCGUAAAGGGCGCGUAGGCGGCCGAUCAAGUCAGGGGUGAAAGCCUGUGGCUCAACCACAGAAUUGCCUUUGAUACUGUUUGGCUCGAGACCGGAAGAGGUUGGUGGAACUGCGAGUGUAGAGGUGAAAUUCGUAGAUAUUCGCAAGAACACCAGUGGCGAAGGCGGCCAACUGGUCCGGUUCUGACGCUGAGGCGCGAAAGCGUGGGGAGCAAACAGGAUUAGAUACCCUAGUAGUCC
rnacentral:rRNA from 1 species